UUUCAUUUGUAAAGGACAAAACAAAUUCGUUCAUAUCCCUGUCUGCAUCAUAAUGAAAAAUGUGCACACAUACAUUAAGUUGAUAUGUGAGUCUUGUUUUGCGAAGCCCUCUUCCAAUAUGUGGCUCCUGAAUUCUGCUUCCACUCAAUGUCGCCGUCAUCGUUGAUGUUUAUGGGCUAUACGAUACCACCAAAAUUCUAUGUUAGGAUGCAGAGGAUAUGCGGCGAUGAGUGUCAGCUUGCACGUGUAACCAUUCAGAAGAUGUUUUGGGGGAUAUACCCUACAGAUCCAUUUGAAUUUGUUUUACAUAUACAACGCAUAUAUAAAAAUUUAAUCCAAAGAUGAUAACACAAUAGGUUAGAACGAUUGACAUUGCAAGGUGUUAUUGUCAAAUUAAGAAGUCAUAUUUCGGGAUCAAAGCUUCUUAUAUAUAAAAAUCAA
rnacentral:sRNA from 1 species